CCUAUUCCUGUGCUGUGCUACUCUUACAAAAGUAAGAGUAGCACUUACUUUAGUUGUGCUGUGCUACUCUUACUUUGGUAAGAGUAGCACAGCACAGGAAUAGGAAUAGGAAAUUAAAGUAAGUGCAACUCUUACUUUGGUAAGAGUAGCACUACGGUGCUGAUCUCCGCAAUCUGAAGCCUUCACUUCGUAUUGAUGAUUAAAAUUAUUAUUUUUCAGUAUAGUAGUUAUUUAUAAAAAAUAAAAUAAAAAAAAGAGAGAGAGAGAGAGAGAGAAAACUUUUAUACAGUACUUUUAUUUGUUAAAAAAAUGCUUGGGCCUGUUAAAAAGGUUUUGUUCUUUGUUUUAAAUGUAUUAUGGAGUAUUUCAUUGUAUAAUAAUUGUUAAAAUAAAAUAAAAUAAAGGUUCCUACUUCGCGGAUUUUAUCACGGGUUCUUUUUGGAACGUAACCCCCGCGAAAAACGAGGGAUCACUGUAUACUAAAACAGAAAUCCUCCUUCAGGUGCAGUGGAGCAAAAAUAUUUCUCAGCCAAAAUGCGUUUUUGCACCCAGUCGCCUGCAGCAACCUUUACCGUGAAAAUCAUAAAAAGAAUAUUUUUGCUGCUUGCUUUUGGAGACGCAACGAGUCUUCCAGUCACCACAGGUGCCAAGGAUUCACCGGAGCUCUUUUACUGCACUUCUGUAGGAUGUGCUGCCGAUGUGAUAAAAGUGUUUUGUAAUGACACACUCCUUCAGCAUGACCUCCUUCCAGAUUGCUCAGGAUCUCCGCUUCUCCAUAAAGUGUGCCAGCAUGAUGGCCGUGCAUAUGUUUCCACCCCAGUAGGGACCAAGUGUGAAUUUGAGAAGGAGAGUGACUACAUUCCUACAAAGAAAUGUACAGACGUUGACCCCAUGUGCCUUUGGAUUCAUGCGACAUCCUCAUCACCAACCCCUUCAAACAAUGGGAAGAAAGCAGUGAGAGUUCAUCUAGGAUACAUUGUCCUAGGAUGCAUCCGUGAGUUAAAAUCAUCAUGUAGCACUGAAAGGUUAUCCACUAUAUUUAGAAGAGAAUAUCACUGUCUAUUGUAAGCACUUUGACAGUUCUUACAUGGUCAAUGUAAGCACUUUUAAAAUGCUUACAGUUGGAAAAAUAGAAUAGAAUAACCAGAAGAUGGCAGUGUUGCUUUGCUAAUGACAUAAACAUGCUGGUUUUUUGAACCGGUACUCUGUACUUAAAAAUAUUUAUCUAAGUGACAUUCAGAAUGUUAUACCCUCUCAUAUAUGUUCUUGAUGUUUCAGAAUGAAUACAAAGUGAUACAAAAAGCAGUAAAACUUCCUAAGGUCUUAUUAACCCCUUCAUUAGGUGUUAUUCUAACUUGCAUGUUCUUUCUGUAGAUGAGUGACUUUUUUUUCUGGGUGCUCAGACUUUCUCCCACAGUCCAGUAAAACUCCUUGUUAUGUUAACUGGUUUGUCAGAUUUUUCCUUAAAAAUUAUUACGUGUGUGCGCGUGUUUGUGUGUGCAUGGCUGUUUGUUUUGUGACAAACUGGGGACCUGUGCAACCUACGCUUGCAGCCUGUCUCUCACUAGAUGACAUAGAUGAAAGUUAAAUUUGAAAAGUUUGGCUUUUUGUUACUGACCCGUCUUGUUUGCUGUGGUCUGUCCACUUGCUUCACUGGGAGCCAAAAUAUCAUUGUAAAGGCAGGUGUUAAGUUGGUCUUGCUGCACUUCUGGUUGGAGGUGGAAUAUGUUACUGUGUUAAAAGAUGCAUCCGAAGGCCAAACCAGCAGCACAAUAGGUACUGAACUAUAAGAUCGUUUUAAUGUUAUAGCCAGAUGUGACAUAUUGAUGCUAAUUCAAAUUCAUUUCAGAGACCGUGAAGAGAGUCAAUAAUUAGCAGUGAUCUAACCUUCUGGAUGCACAAUUGUGAGGUUAGUGAAAAAUGUUUAUUGUCACACCAAUUAAUUACAUUGAUGUGAAUUUUUAUUUUUUAAAGUUCACAUUUUAAAUCUUCAGGGAGGCUGAAGUUGCUUUUCAAGUGGAUGAUGACACCGUACCUCAACGUAGACGUGGGGAUUAGCUAAAUUCACUUUAGCUAGUACAUUCCAGGAUUAAAGGACUAAUGUCUCAGCCAGAUCUAGAGAAACUCAUCCAUGCGUUUAUCUUCAGUCGUAUUGAUUAUUGAAACAGCGUCUUCACAGGUCUGUCCAACAAAUCAAUCAAACAGCUGCAGCUGAUCCAGAAUGCUGCUGCUCGCGUUCUAACUAAAACCAGGAAGAUAGAUCACAUAACACCAGUUUUAAAGUCUCUCCACUGGCUCCCUGUAGCUCAAAGAAUAGAGUUUAAAAUACUGUUGCUAGUUUAUAAAUCACUGAAUGGUUUAGCACCACAAUACAUUAAAGAUCUGCUGCUGUUGUAUUGACCUUCCAGAACUCUCAGGUCUUCUGGUUCUGGUCUGUUCUGCAUCCACAGAACCAGAACCAAACGAGGAGGGGCGGCAUUUAGCAUCUAUGCACCAAAAACCUGGAACAAACUUCCAGAAAACUGUAAAACAGCUGAAACACUGACUUCCUUUAAAUCUCAACUAAAAACCCACUUGUUUAGAGUUGUAUUUGAAAAGUAAUCAAUUGCAAAUUUAUUGACGAAACUUGACUUGAUGUGUUUUUAUUGUUGGUUCUCUGUUGCAUUGUGUUUUUGUGUUUGAUUUGGUGUAAAGCACUUUGAAAUGCCUUGCUGUUGAAAUGCGCUAUACAAAUAAAGUUUGAUUGAUUGA